CACCAUCUGUGGACCAGCGAGGUCUGAGCCCGUGCAGCUUCCCAGGUCUGACGGGACUGGGUGCAUUCAGGCUGAUACAGCUGAAGACUGUAAGUCAUCCACAGCAGCUUCUGUUGGCCUACAAAAGGGUUGCCUGCCGUGGCUUGACUGUCAGAUGGCUUCACCUCGUUGUCCAAGGCUAGACCAGUCCUGGACACGCAGUUGGAAGUGUCUUUGGUGGGAGCUUGAAAUUCAAGAGCCAUUGCAGACGACAGGGAGGAGUUGGGGGAGCAACUUUCCUGCAACACGGAAGAAAUCAGUGGUUUUGUGAGAGAGAAUGUGGUGGCCAUCCGAUGAGAAGGGGAGGAAGGUGAGAGCUGAGAGAAUUGUGGUAAGAGUUCAGGGCCCCAACUGGUGUCCUCACUCUCUUUCAACAUAGCUCAGCUGGGGUCCUAAACAUCAACAUACCCCCUGGAGGAGCAGCCACUAAGAAAGAACAAAGGGAGAGGAGCAAAUGACAAAGUGCAUUUGGCUAGAGGGUUGAGUGAUAGACAUGUGUUGGGUGUGCUCAGAUGGAAGGAAGGCAGAGAUCAGGCUUCAAGAUCUUGAGUCUCAAGCCUGAAACAAUGAUUCUUGCUUCUCCUGGAUCCUGAGAUGCCAAAGCUGUCUGACUAGCACCCACAUCUUACCUGAUUUCUCCAACUCACAUCCCUAAGAAACAAGGAACAUGGUAGCGGUAAGAUCUUGGGAUGGUUAAUGUUGCUCAGAAUCGCCUAGGAGACAAAUAGGGGCCAUGUCUGCAAGGGAGUUUCUAGCUUAGGCUAAUGGACGAGGUGGCAUCAUUCCAUGGGAUGGAGUUAAAAGAAGAAAGCAAGGUGAACGACAACAUCCAUUGCCCUAUACUUCCUGGCUGCUGAUGCAAUGUGAUCUGAUGGGAGAUGCCAUUCUGUAAAUCUGUCUCUUAUUGGUUGUUGAAUAAAGCACUGUUGGCCGAUAGGGAAGCAAGAUAGGUGGGACUAGGAGUCGAGCAGGACUCUGGUGAGGAGAAACACAGGGAGUCAUCAUGUAGCUGCUAUAGGGGUUAGAAGUCCGGACCCUAUUCUCCGGUAAGAGAAAUACUUAGAUUAACAAUUAUGGAGUAAAUACUUAAGUCAGAGCUAGCCAGUAAGAAAAAAGCAAGGCCAACAGUUUCAUAAUUAA